rnacentral:rRNA from 1 species
AUGGACCAGAAUGCUGAUCAGGCUACGCCACAGACACACAAGCAGAGGAGGUUUUCUCGACGUCCAGCAAGGGAAAAUCGCAGCUUCAACUUACAAUGCAUCAAUAUUUCAAGAAGCAAUCAGACGGCAUCAAGCAAGCCCGCUAGCGUUAGAUAUACUCUAGCAAUUCAUCCUUGGGAAACGAAGCCCGAUGCACAUGCACGCGAGGUGUUCGCGCAAAUGCCUAAGAGAGACCGUACAGUGGUCGGCCAUGUCGAAGGUGGAGAGGCCGGCGUCGGCGUAGGCGAGCAUGGCGUCGACGGCGUCGGCGCGGUCGAUGCGGCCCCACCCGCCGCUGGUCUGCCACAUGCCGUUGAGCACCCGGCAGAUGGCCAGCGACGAGUCGGUCCCGCCGCGGCUGCUGGCGAGGGUCGCCGCCCUCGCGCCCGGGGUCGCCGACUCCACCGCCGGGCCCACGAACCCCGCGCACCUCGCGGGCCGCACGCGGCGCGGUGGAGUGGGCGCGGGCGGCGCCGGCGAGAGGGCGCGGGCUGCUGA